UAGAAAAGCCACCUGAAUAGAAUACUUGCCAAUCACUUGCCCCCGUGUUUCCUCUGUUAAACUUAGUCUGUACUUUUUCUGAAAAUGCAACCUUUCAAAGCAAGAGAUGGGUUUCCUUGUGUGUUUGUGAGUAGGUUGGUAAGUUUAUAUUUUGUUACUUUCAUUUUAGACUUUUGAUAACUCAGCGUUUACAAUGUGUGGUGGUUUGAAUGAAAAUACCACCCAGUUGAUGAACUGUUUAGCAGGAUUAAGAGGUAUAUCCUUGUUGGAGAAGGUGUGCCCUUAUUGGAGGAAGUGUGUCACUAGGGUGUGCUUUCAGGUUUCAAAUGCCCAUAGUAGGCCUGGUGUUUUGCUCUCUGCCUACUGCCUGUGUGUGGAUCAGGAUGUAAAGCUCUCUACUACUGUUCCUGCCUAUCUGCUUCACAGCAUAAUAAUAAUUAACUAACUCUCUGAAAC
rnacentral:lncRNA from 1 species